rnacentral:rRNA from 1 species
GACGAACGCUGGCGGCGUGCUUAACACAUGCAAGUCGAACGCUGAAGCUCAGCUUUUGUUGGGUGGAUGAGUGGCGAACGGGUGAGUAACACGUGAGUAACCUGCCCCCUUCUUUGGGAUAACGCCCGGAAACGGGUGCUAAUACUGGAUAUUCACUGGUCUUCGCAUGGGGGUUGGUGGAAAGGGUUUUUCUGGUGGGGGAUGGGCUCGCGGCCUAUCAGCUUGUUGGUGGGGUGAUGGCCUACCAAGGCUUUGACAGGUAGCCGGCCUGAGAGGGUGACCGGUCACAUUGGGACUGAGAUACGGCCCAGACUCCUACGGGAGGCAGCAGUGGGGAAUAUUGCACAAUGGGCGCAAGCCUGAUGCAGCGACGCCGCGUGAGGGAUGGAGGCCUUCGGGUUGUGAACCUCUUUCGCUCAUGGUCAAGCCGCAACAAUGGUUGUGGUGAGGGUAGUGGGUAAAGAAGCGCCGGCUAACUACGUG